UUCACGUAUGUAUUUACAUCCUUAGACACAAGGAAAAACGGUUCUUUGGAAGCACAUCAGCCAAUUCUAUGAGCUGGACAAGCUCCACACUAUUCGGAUGGCCCCGAAGCUUACUGAUAAGCACAUUCUGCUGCCAGCAUUUUCCAAGAUGCGUGUCAGUUUGGCUGCACAGGUGUUCAGCCACACUGUCUCUGCUGGCAUUUCUGCGAUGGUAACAUUGCAGAGACUGCCAGCAGAGGCAAAAGAUACAGCUGACUGUGUAGCCAAAUUAAAUCACCUUUUUGAUGUGCUAAAUUCCAGAUCAGUCAAGGAUUCUAACCCCUGGCGACGACCCCUAGGCUCAGGAAACCAGGAGAAGGAGAACUUCCUGAGGGAAUGCAUCAGCUGGGUGGCAAGCUGGCAGUUCAGUGGACGUAUGUCGCAGGAGGUGGAAGUCGCUCAGGGACAGGUACAUGAGACACAAAAAGAGUGAAAAAGAGGGGAAAAAGAGCGCUUCAGCGGCAGGGAGAGUGGACAGCUGGAAAUUCUCUAGGGUCCUGUCCUUCCUCGACCCCUUUGUCACCCCGAGGGAGACCAGCGGCAAUUUACCUCUGGGGGCAGAGCAGGUAGAGGAGGACGGGGCUCCAGAGACUCCACUGUCAGGGGCAGGAGAAGAUGAGGAGCUUGAGGAGGCAGCAGCAUCGCACAAUACAGGUUUGUUGACAAGUG
rnacentral:lncRNA from 1 species